CAUUGAUACAGGCUAAAAGCUGGGAGAGAUAAAAUGAUCCAGGAAGUUCUCUCUUUGCAUGAUCCAGGAUAUGCAUGAACUUCAUCUACCACAUUUUCAUUAAAUAAUGCCUGUUCUCCACUAAGAAUUCAAGUUUCAGUUACCAAGGUCUAUUCAUCAUUAACUGUAUAAAGUACAAACUCCGCUACACACAAAUCACUACGUAAAUAGCGAAUGCACAUCAGGAUCCCUGGACAACAAGUCACUUCCUAGAGACAGGGAUGGGCCCCUAUGUGUCUGUGGUUGUCACCCUUAGAGAGCAAGGCGAGCAGCUAUGUUUCCUUCUUAUCUCCCAGUGAUUCUCCCUGGUGAUAUUUCUGCAAGGGGCUAUCAAAGAAGUGAAUUGAAACAGAGAUGAAAGUGCAGGAGGAAAUGAAAAGUGACGGUGCUGGAGGUGCCACUUGAGUUCAGGGUGGAUGGCGCCACUGAGGACAGAGCUGAUGGGGCCACUGGGACACUGCAGGGUUUGCAGAGCCUCUGGGUCUGCAGCUGGGCAGGAUGCAGGAAAACACUUCACAUUAAAGAAACCUUCGGAGAAAUGUCCUGACGGUAAAAGGGCAGACACUACACUGUGGGGAAGGAAUCUAAACGUAGAAAGGAACAUGACAAGGUGCCACGUGUAGGAAAGAGAUGGUGAGCUGUGUAGAGGAAAGACCAGUGCUGUGGGCUGCCCUGGAUGAGUUCUGGAAGAAGCAGGGUGCUGGAGUCUGCGGUGUCUCUAAGGUUUUCAUUAAGGUGCACUGAGGACACGUCAGUUUUGUUGUUUUCAUUUUCCUGUACAUUCACAAUCGACUAUGGGAGAGAUUUUUAUGUUCUCACAAGCCUCUUUCAAGUUCUGGAAUGAUCAUUCAUGCUGAUAUUGAAACUGCUUCCCACGGCCCUGCGGGUGGGUGGUUUCCACAGUCCUCAUCUGCUGUGCAAAGACAGCUCGGCCUGGACUUCAUGUAUCGUGCAGAUUAGCACGAAUAUAUAUUUUUGUCCCCAUAUCAUGUAUCUUGACUCCCUCGUUAGAUUUUAAGCUACUUACUUGCAGGAAUAAGACCUUCUACAUUGCCCACUCCACCUGGCAU
rnacentral:lncRNA from 1 species